UACGUAGGGGGCAAGCGUUGUCCGGAAUCAUUGGGCGUAAAGCGCGUGUAGGCGGCUCGGUAAGUCUGCUGUGAAAGCCCAGGGCUCAACCCUGGGAUGCCGGUGGAUACUGUCGAGCUCGAGUCCGGAAGAGGCGAGUGGAAUUCCUGGUGUAGCGGUGAAAUGCGCAGAUAUCAGGAGGAACACCGGUGGCGAAGGCGGGUCUCUGGGCCGGAACUGACGCUAAGGAGCGAAAGCGUGGGGAGCGAACAGG
rnacentral:rRNA from 1 species